UACGAAGGGGGCUAGCGUUGCUCGGAAUCACUGGGCGUAAAGCGCACGUAGGCGGGUUGUUAAGUCGGGGGUGAAAUCCUGGAGCUCAACUCCAGAACUGCCUUCGAUACUGGCGACCUUGAGUCCGGGAGAGGUGAGUGGAACUCCGAGUGUAGAGGUGAAAUUCGUAGAUAUUCGGAAGAACACCAGUGGCGAAGGCGGCUCACUGGCCCGGUAUUGACGCUGAGGCGCGAAAGCCAGGGGAGCAAACGGG
rnacentral:rRNA from 1 species